rnacentral:misc_RNA from 1 species
AACUGAUACUACCUGCGGGAACCUGCGGAGGGAUCAUUACCGAGUUAUACAACUCCCAAACCCACUGUGAACCUUACCUCAGUUGCCUCGGCGGGAACGCCCCGGCCGCCUGCCCCCGCGCCGGCGCCGGACCCAGGCGCCCGCCGCAGGGACCCCAAACUCUCUUGCAUUACGCCCAGCGGGCGGAAUUUCUUCUCUGAGUUGCACAAGCAAAAACAAAUGAAUCAAAACUUUUAGCAA